rnacentral:rRNA from 1 species
UACGGAGGGUGCGAGCGUUGUCCGGAAUCACUGGGCGUAAAGGGCGCGUAGGCGGCUUCUUAAGCGUGUGGUGAAAGCUCAGGGCUCAACUCUGAGUCGGCCAUGCGAACUGGGAGGCUUGAGCACUGUAGAGGCAGGUGGAAUUCCGGGUGUAGCGGUGGAAUGCGCAGAUAUCAGGAGGAACACCGGUGGCGAAGGCGGGUCUCUGGGCCGUAACUGACGCUGAGGAGCGAAAGCGUGGGGAGCGAACAGG